GAUGAAGAACGUAGCGAAAUGCGAUAAGUAGUGUGAAUUGCAGAAUUCAGUGAAUCAUCGAAUCUUUGAACGCACAUUGAGCCCCUUGGUAUCCCGAGGGGCAUGCCUGUUCGAGCGUCAUUUCACCACUCAAGCCUGGCUUGGUGUUGGGCGACGUCCCCUUUGGGGACGCGCCUCGAAACGCUCGGCGGCGUGGCACCGGCUUUAAGCGUAGCAGAAUCUUUCGCUUUGGAAGUCGGGGCCCCGUCUGCCGGAAGACCUACUCGCAAGGUUGACCUCGGAUCAGGCAGGGAUACCCGCUGAACUUAAGCAUAUCAAUAAGCGGAGGA
rnacentral:misc_RNA from 1 species